rnacentral:rRNA from 1 species
CCUACGGGUGGCAGCAGUGGGGAAUAUUGCGCAAUGGGCGAAAGCCUGACGCAGCGACGCCGCGCGAGGGAUGAAGGUCUUCGGAUCGUAAACCUCUGUCAGCAGGGAAGAACGGUCACUGUGCUAAUCAGCAGUGAAUUGACGGUACCUGCAAAGGAAGCACCGGCUAACUCCGUGCCAGCAGCCGCGGUAAUACGGAGGGUGCGAGCGUUAAUCGGAAUUACUGGGCGUAAAGCGCUCGUAGGCGGUAUGGCAAGUCAAGGGUGAAAUCCCCGCGCUCAACGUGGGAACUGCCUUUGAAACUGGCAAACUGGAGUGUGUGAGAGGAUAGUGGAAUUCCAGGUGUAGGAGUGAAAGCCGUAGAUAUCUGGAGGAACAUCAGUGGCGAAGGCGACUAUCUGGCACAUAACUGACGCUGAGGAGCGAAAGCGUGGGUAGCAAACAGGAUUAGAUACCCCAGUAGUC